GCCUUGUUAGCGCAGUAGGUAGCGUGUUAGUCUCAUAAUCUAAGGUCCUGAGUUCGAUCCUCAGACAAGGCA
rnacentral:tRNA from 1 species